GUGGGGAAUAUUGGACAAUGGGCGAAAGCCUGAUCCAGCCAUGCCGCGUGUGUGAAGAAGGUCUUCGGAUUGUAAAGCACUUUAAGUUGGGAGGAAGGGCAGUAAGUUAAUACCUUGCUGUUUUGACGUUACCGACAGAAUAAGCACCGGCUAACUCUGUGCCAGCAGCCGCGGUAAUACAGAGGGUGCAAGCGUUAAUCGGAAUUACUGGGCGUAAAGCGCGCGUAGGUGGUUCGUUAAGUUGGAUGUGAAAGCCCCUGGCGCAACCUGGGAACUGCAUCCAAAACUGGCGAGCUAGAGUACGGUAGAGGGUGGUGGAAUUUCCUGUGUAGCGGUGAAAUGCGUAGAUAUAGGAAGGAACACCAGUGGCGAAGGCGACCACCUGGACUGAUACUGACACUGAGGUGCGAAAGCGUGGGGAGCAAACAGGAUUAGAAACCCGUGUAGUCC
rnacentral:rRNA from 1 species